AUGAACGCUGGCGGCGUGCCUAAUACAUGCAAGUCGAGCGAACAGACUAGGAGCUUGCUCCUCUGACGUUAGCGGCGGACGGGUGAGUAACACGUGGAUAACCUACCUAUAAGACUGGGAUAACUUCGGGAAACCGGAGCUAAUACCGGAUAAUAUAUUGAACCGCAUGGUUCAAUAGUGAAAGACGGUUUUGCUGUCACUUAUAGAUGGAUCCGCGCCGCAUUAGCUAGUUGGUAAGGUAACGGCUUACCAAGGCGACGAUGCGUAGCCGACCUGAGAGGGUGAUCGGCCACACUGGAACUGAGACACGGUCCAGACUCCUACGGGAGGCAGCAGUAGGGAAUCUUCCGCAAUGGGCGAAAGCCUGACGGAGCAACGCCGCGUGAGUGAUGAAGGUCUUCGGAUCGUAAAACUCUGUUAUUAGGGAAGAACAAAUGUUUAAGUAACUAUGCACGUCUUGACGGUACCUAAUCAGAAAGCCACGGCUAACUACGUG
rnacentral:rRNA from 1 species